AUAAAAAUAAUAUAUAAUAGAGAAUAUUUACUUUAAUAAUGUAAAUUAUUUUUAAAUUAUAGUUUUAUUAAAAUUUUUAAUCUAAUUAAUAAAUUUAAGACAUUUUUUUAUAGAAAAUUUUUCAUAAAAUAUAAUUUUUUUAGUUAUUAAAAAAUAACUUAUUUUAAUUUAUUAAAAAAUUAAUUUUAUUAGAGUAUACUUUUAAUAAAGUAAUUUUAUUUUUUUAUC
rnacentral:tRNA from 1 species